rnacentral:lncRNA from 1 species
AGUAACAUGCAGGUAAAGCAAUCACUUUAAUAUUUCUUAAGUAACACUUUUGCCCUGCAUCAAAGAUGUGUUUACUCAAGAAAUACUCUACUGUGGAAUAAAUAUAUUGACUUGCUGUAAGAAGUUAGCUUCUAUAGUGGUACAAGAAUUGAAUGCAAUACUUAUAAUGGACAAAAAUCAUGCUAUAUAGCACCCUAAAAUCUAAUAAAUUUGGCAAAAAAAUUGGAAGCAGCUUCAUGAAUUUAAGAUAGAUGAAAGAGUUUGAAUUUUUUCUUAGUUCCAAUUAUUUUUAGAACAAGACCAC